rnacentral:lncRNA from 1 species
AAAAUAUUUAAUAUUGCCACAAGAGAAUAUCUUGUUAUGGUCAAUAUCAUAAUGUUGACAAUAUCCUUAGGCAAUCAAAUGAGCUUUGUAGGUCUCCACCUUCUCAUCUGUGCUACUUUGAUCCUAUUGAAGAUCUACUUACACUCUACAGGUUUUACCCUUUGAGUGAAUGAAUGAAUGUCCAUACAUCGUUGAUCUGUAUGGACUUUAUUUCAGACUCUAUGGCUCCAAGCCAUUAAUCAGAGUCGGAUCUCUGCAUGGCAUCCAUGUAGGUGAUCAGAUCCUUAUUGUUCUCAUCGAGUUCAACAGGAUCAUGUCCCAGAUCUAAAAACCGAAGUCUCUAUCUAAUGGAUGCGAUACUCUACCGGAUCUCCUUAAUGGUGCUUUUACAAUAGGUACCGAGUUUAAUCUAAUCCAAUUUGAUUCUAUAGGUUUACUAGAUUGUGUCGGUUCUUCUACCUGUCUAACUUCAUAAGUUUCACAUUAAAGGCAUCAGUACCUUCAUCAAGGUACUAUUUUUCUGAAAGAAAUGUCGAACAACUCUUGUUCUUUAGUAUGGUAGAAGUUAUAUCCCCUAGAUCCUUUGAGAUUAUCC